AUAAUUUCCUAAGUAUAACAUGGUCUCUAUUACUGUGGUCCUAGCUUCUGUGUUGCUCAGUAUUUGGGAAUUCAUAUUCCAUAUCAUUAGAAAGAUGAGUGGCCAACUGCCAAUCAUUCAUCCUGACAGCUAACAGUCUCUUCAGAAUGCAGAGGACCUUGGGUGGCAGUUGCCUUGUCAACUUCUCUUUUCAUCGAGUGAAAGGAGCACGAGUUGGAGGGCAUGUCCUGGCUUCAUUCUCAAGACGUCUGGUAGUGACAGAAGCGAAGACUCGGGCUCAGCAUGCACCAUGGGGAAGUUCUGGAAAAGCUUCCUUUCCCAUUUCUCUUUCUUGUUGUUUCCUUCCAUGAGACCCACAACGAGCCAUACCCAUAUGGUGCGAGGACUGGAUUCAGGAGUUACGGGAUUUUGCCCAAUCUCCUCUCCAUUGAGACGUUCAUACUGCUCUUUAAUACCAAUGACAGCUAAAAGGUUAAUAUGUCUCGAUUUAUGGGGACAAUGCCACACAGAAUUGAAUUUAACACAGGGAAAAAAAAAAACAGCAAUAUUGACCAUGACUUCUUCAACAACCCAAAGUUAGUAAAAUCUAAACCAUUACUUCCGGAAGCAAGCACGGCUGCUAAAUAUGAUGACGCAGAAGCAAAAAUAUUGACAAGAGGCCUACAUGUGGGAGUAAGUCUGAUGGAAAACAGGUCUCUUCUUUCACUUUGAAAUACUGAAAUUAAAAAGAAAAAGGUGGGGGUGUGAAAUAGGAAGUCUGCUGUGAGCUUUCAUCUCCCAGAAAGGCUGGAGGAGCUCUACCCGUGAAGGCUCACAUACACAGCUGCCCAAACGCGGCCUCAGCAGCCAUCAAACCCAUAAAACAAGUUAACAUGGCAGAGAAACCUCAUGAGAUCUUCAGCACCAGACAAAGGACUACAAGUGACUAUGGAGUGCAGAGAAAGAGAAAUAGUCUACCUCAGGAGACAUUCAUCAGUGCCAGAGACACAGACCUGCAAGCCCAGAGCCAGCUGAUAAACAAGUCAACCCAAAUCUCGGCAUCUGGCUAUUCAACAUGCUCUCCAGAAGUGGUUUGG